rnacentral:rRNA from 1 species
CCUACGGGGUGCAGCAGUGGGGAAUAUUGCACAAUGGGGGAAACCCUGAUGCAGCGACGCCGCGUGAGUGAAGAAGUAUCUCGGUACGUAAAGCUCUAUCAGCAGGGAAGAAAAUGACGGUACCUGACUAAGAAGCCCCGGCUAACUACGUGCCAGCAGCCGCGGUAAUACGUAGGGGGCAAGCGUUAUCCGGAUUUACUGGGUGUAAAGGGAGCGUAGACGGCAGCACAAGUCUGGAGUGAAAUCCCGGGGCUUAACCCGGGAACUGCUUUGGAAACUGUGCGGCUGGUGUGCAGGAGGGGUAAGCGGAAUUCCUAGGGUGGCGGUGAAUUGCGUAGAUAUUAGGAGGAACACCGGUGGCGAAGGCGGCUUACUGGACUGUAACUGACGUUGAGGCUCGAAAGCGUGGGGAGCAAACAGGAUUAGAUACCCUUGUAGUC